UACGUAGGGUGCAAGCGUUAAUCGGAAUUACUGGGCGUAAAGCGUGCGCAGGCGGUUGGUUAAGUCUGAUGUGAAAGCCCCGGGCUCAACCCGGGAAUGGCAUUGAAUACUGCUGAUCUGGAGGAUCGGAGGGGGGACUGGAAUUCUUGGUGUAGCAGUGAAAUGCGUAGAUAUCAGGAGGAACACCCGUGGCGAAGGCGGCUCUCUGGGACGGUACUGACGCUGAGACGCGAAAGCGUGGGGAGCGAACAGG
rnacentral:rRNA from 1 species